rnacentral:rRNA from 1 species
GAUCAUGGCUCAGAUUGAACGCUGGCGGCAUGCUUUACACAUGCAAGUCGAACGGCAGCACAGGGAGCUUGCUCCCGGGUGGCGAGUGGCGCACGGGUGAGUAAUACAUCGGAACGUGUCCUGUUGUGGGGGAUAACUGCUCGAAAGGGUGGCUAAUACCGCAUGAGACCUGGAGGGUAGAAAGGGCGGGGAUCGACAACGACCUCGCGACUAAGUUGGAGCGGCCGAUCGCCCGUA